GCUUUCCCUCCAGAGUGGAUCCUGAGUACGGCGGAACACGUGAAAUUCCGUCGGAAUCCGGGAGGACCAUCUCCCAAGGCUAAAUACUCCCUAGUGACCGAUAGUGAACCAGUACCGUGAGGGAAAGGUGAAAAGCACCCCGGAAGGGGAGUGAAACAGUUCCUGAAACCGUGUGCCUACAAGUAGUUAGAGCCCGUUAAUGGGUGAUAGCGUGCCUUUUGUAGAAUGAACCGGCGAGUUACGAUUUGUUGCAAGGUUAAGCGGAAAAAGCGGAGCCGUAGCGAAAGCGAGUCUGAAUAGGGCGCAUAAGUAACAGGUCGUAGACCCGAAACCAGGUGAUCUACCCAUGUCCAGGAUGAAGGUAAGGUAAUACUUACUGGAGGUCCGAACCCACGCACGUUGAAAAGUGCGGGGAUGAGGUGUGGGUAGCGGAGAAAUUCCAAUCGAACUUGGAGAUAGCUGGUUCUCUCCGAAAUAGCUUUAGGGCUAGCCUCGAGGUAAAGAGUCAUGGAGGUAGAGCACUGUUUGGACUAGGGGCCCUUCUCGGGUUACCGAAUUCAGAUAAACUCCGAAUGCCAUGUACUUAUACUCGGGAGUCAGACUGCGAGUGAUAAGAUCCGUAGUCGAAAGGGAAACAGCCCAGACCACCAGUUAAGGUCCCCAAAUAUAUGUUAAGUGGAAAAGGAUGUGGGGUUGCUUAGACAACCAGGAUGUUGGCUUAGAAGCAGCCACCAUUGAAAGAGUGCGUAAUAGCUCACUGGUCGAGUGACCCCGCGCCGAAAAUGUACCGGGGCUAAACAUAUUACCGAAACUGUGGAUGAACCUCUUUAGAGGUUCGUGGUAGGAGAGCGUUCUAAGGGCGGUGAAGUCAGACCGGAAGGACUGGUGGAGCGCUUAGAAGUGAGAAUGCCGGUAUGAGUAGCGAAAGAAGGGUGAGAAUCCCUUCCACCGAAUAUCUAAGGUUUCCUGAGGAAGGCUCGUCCGCUCAGGGUUAGUCGGGACCUAAGC
rnacentral:rRNA from 1 species